GCAGGACGGAGAACCACACUGGG
rnacentral:piRNA from 1 species